CUGAUUAACUGCAGCAGAAGGAGACAGAGCUGCUGAGUGGAGAGCAGCAUGGUGGAUUAACAGCUGGAAUGGAGGAAGAAAAUAUAGUUAAGUCACUAAAUAUAACAUCUUUUGAUAGAAGAACCCUGCAGGAGGAGCUCAGACCAAAGACCAGAGGAAGACCAGGACCUGGUUCAGUGGUUGAAGCCUUCAGGCUGCCAGAGAUCGGUCAUUAAUAAUGAAGCUGGUUUGUGGACGGAGGAGAGGAAGCAGAGAGACGCUUCAGGACCAGAGGAAGACGGAGAUACAGACUUCAGCAAGGUGUCUGCUGAGGAGAGACGGCUGUUCCUGAGUCUGCUGGUCCUGUAACGGAGAGUCCUGUAGCGCAUCGCAGAGGGCAGGAAGGCAAACAGUCUGUGGCCGCGAGAUGCAGAUUUCAGCAAGGUGUCUGCUGAGGAGAGACGGCUGUUCCUGAGUCUGCUGGUCCUGGAACGGAGAGUCCUGUAGCGCAUCGCAGAAGGCAGGAAGGCAGGAAGGCAAACAUGAUGCUGCGUCCAACACUCAGUCCUUUAACCAGCUCACCUCUGAAGGGAACACUCUGGAAAAACAAGAUCAAGCACUACGUCAAGAAGCAGGUCUCAGAUCAGCUGAAUAAGGAAAAUAAAGACAGUCAGAAGAAAGAGCACAGACUGACAGCUGUUGUUGUCUGCUGGGCUGCAGUUUGCCAUGUUAUGAUUGGAGCAUAUUGUUUGAUGCUAAAUGCAGUACCUGUGAGGGUUUCUGGACAAUAUCUGUCAUUGUUUUGUGUUGAUAA